GACGAACGCUGGCGGCGUGCUUAACACAUGCAAGUCGAGCGGUAAGGCCCUUUCGGGGGUACACGAGCGGCGAACGGGUGAGUAACACGUGGGUGACCUGCCCUUAGCUCUGGGAUAAGCCUGGGAAACUGGGUCUAACACCGGAUAUGACUCCAUGACGCAUGUUGUGGGGUGGAAAGCCUUGUGCGGCUAGGGAUGGGCCCGCGGCCUAUCAGCUUGUUGGUGGGGUGANGGCCUACCAAGGCGACGACGGGUAGCCGGCCUGAGAGGGCGACCGGCCACACUGGGACUGAGACACGGCCCAGACUCCUACGGGAGGCAGCAGUGGGGAAUCUUGCGCAAUGGGCGAAAGCCUGACGCAGCGACGCCGCGUGGGGAUGACGG
rnacentral:rRNA from 1 species